rnacentral:rRNA from 1 species
GGAAUUGACGGAAGGGCACCACCAGGAGUGGAGCCUGCGGCUUAAUUUGACUCAACACGGGGAAACUCACCAGGUCCAGACACAAUAAGGAUUGACAGAUUGAGAGCUCUUUCUUGAUUUUGUGGGUGGUGGUGCAUGGCCGUUCUUAGUUGGUGGAGUGAUUUGUCUGCUUAAUUGCGAUAACGAACGAGACCUUAACCUACUAAAUAGUGGUGCUAGCAUUUGCUGGUUAUCCACUUCUUAGAGGGACUAUCGGUUUCAAGCCGAUGGAAGUUUGAGGCAAUAACAGGUCUGUGAUGCCCUUAGACGUUCUGGGCCGCACGCGCGCUACACUGACGGAGCCAGCGAGUCUAACCUUGGCCGAGAGGUCUUGGUAAUCUUGUGAAACUCCGUCGUGCUGGGGAUAGAGCAUUGUAAUUAU